rnacentral:rRNA from 1 species
CGAACGCUGGCGGCGUGCUUAACACAUGCAAGUCGAACGGAAAGGCCCUGCUUUUGUGGGGUGCUCGAGUGGCGAACGGGUGAGUAACACGUGAGUAACCUGCCCUUGACUUUGGGAUAACUUCAGGAAACUGGGGCAAAUACCGGAUAGGAGCUCCUGCUGCAUGGUGGGGGUUGGAAAGUUUCGGCGGUUGGGGAUGGACUCGCGGCUUAUCAGCUUGUUGGUGGGGUAGUGGCUUACCAAGGCUUUGACGGGUAGCCGGCCUGAGAGGGUGACCGGCCACAUUGGGACUGAGAUACGGCCCAGACUCCUACGGGAGGCAGCAGUGGGGAAUAUUGCACAAUGGGCGGAAGCCUGAUGCAGCAACGCCGCGUGCGGGAUGACGGCCUUCGGGUUGUAAACCGCUUUCGCCUGUGACGAAGCGUGAGUGACGGUAAUGGGUAAAGAAGCACCGGCUAACUACGUG